rnacentral:misc_RNA from 1 species
UUUCCGUAGGUGAACCUGCGGAAGGAUCAUUAGUGAAUUAAACAUGCUUGGUGUCUUCGCUUCGGCAAGGCCCUUGCUUAAAUCACAUCCUAACACCUGUGAACUGUAAGACGUAUGAUGAGGUCUUUGGCCAAGUCAUCGUCUGCCCAUUUUUAACAAACAAUUAAUGUAACAAACGUAGUCUUAUUAUAACCUAAUAAAACUUUCAACAACGGAUCUCUUGGCUCUCGCAUCGAUGAAGAACGCAGC